rnacentral:lncRNA from 1 species
CCCGCCAUAAAUCAAGCCCAGGACAGAGCGCCGUUCCAGGAACGCAGCCGGCCAGCCCUGGCUUUCUGUGGGAAAGCAGCACACGCCCCGCUUCAGCGCCGAGGAGAGCCUGUGACGCGGCGGAGCAGCCCCCGGGAGAUGUCCCUUGAUGAGGUCUGGUGGAGCAGCCCUUCCAGCUACAGCAUGCACCAGAAGGGCGAGAAGAGCUGCACGGGUGGAGGCAGACAUGACUGGGCUCACCACCGGGAUAUCGGCGCCAGGCGAGAUGUCUUCACUUAGAUCCAGAGCAGGACGGGCACGGCUGGCAGGUCACGAGCCACUGCAGCCUCUCUGUGGGCUUUGAAGGGCCGUGGAGCAGUUAAUGCUGUGGACGUGGAGGAAUCCCCUUGGGCAUCCAGGCAGGGCAGUGAAUGGGGCAUCUUCAGAGCUAUUAUUUUUGAACCCCAACACAAGAAAAGUGAUGACCGAAUGAGCUGUUUGCUUACCCAGGCAGCACAAAGCCUGAGGAGGUGGAAAAGCACCUUCCUGGGAAGAAAAAGGAGCACAAGAAGGAGGCCAACACCAGAAGGAAAGGGGUGAGCGGGUCAGAAGUGGGCUCAGG